AUACAGAGGGUGCAAGCGUUAAUCGGAAUUACUGGGCGUAAAGCGCGCGUAGGCGGUUUGUUAAGUCGGAUGUGAAAGCCCUAGGCUCAACCUGGGAACUGCAUUCGAAACUGGCAAACUAGAGUAUGGUAGAGGUAAGUGGAAUUCCAGGUGUAGCGGUGAAAUGCGUAGAUAUCGGAAGGAACACCAGUGGCGAAGGCGACUUCCUGGCCCAAUACUGACGCUCAGGUGCGAAAGCGUGGGGAGCAAACAGGAUUAGAAACCCCAGUAGUCC
rnacentral:rRNA from 1 species